UGCGUAGGCGGCGCGGUAAGUCGGGUGUGAAAUCUCGGAGCUUAACUCCGAAACUGCAUUCGAUACUGCCGUGCUUGAGGGCUGGAGAGGAGACUGGAAUUUACGGUGUAGCGGUGAAAUGCGUAGAUAUCGUAAGGAAGACCAGUGGCGAAGGCGGGUCUCUGGACAGUUCCUGACGCUGAGGCACGAAGUGGGAGGCAACG
rnacentral:rRNA from 1 species